UUCAUGCUAUAUUAUUUUCUUGAGUUACGUAAAGCAAGGAAUUGUAUUUGUAUUAAGGAGCUAAGGAAGCUGUUAGUUUAUUAUAUUUGUACAUGAUUACAGACAAGCCUAUGCCCAUUUAAAAGAAAAGAUGGAUACUAUUUAAGGUGAUAUUUAAUAUGUUUUUCUAUAAACAAGUUUGAAAUAUAGUUUGCCUUAGUUGUCUUAUCAGUAGCAUAGCCUUCUAUUUAUUUCUCAUUAUGUGAACCUGGACUAUGACCAGUGACUCUUGUCUCUGUAUUUUGGAUGGCCUAACCUACAUUACUAUGUGUGCAUUUUACAACUUUUUUUUUUCAGAAACCAUAAUUACUUUAUUAAUAAACAGAUAAAGAUAUUGUCUUGUUUUUUAAUGGUUUUGUUGCCAUUAUAUUUGUCAAAUGAGAAAAUAAUUGUCAUUUUGAUCCGCAUGGAAAUCUGUUACAGGUGUUGUUUAGUUCAGUGGUUCUCAGCUUUCCUAAUGCUGUGACCCUCUAGUUUAUCAUGUUGUGGUGACCCCCAACCAUAAAAUUGUUUUUGUUGCUGCUUCAUAACUAAUUUUGCUAUUGUUAUGAAUUAUAACAUAAAAAUCUGGUUUUUUCAUGGUCUUAGGCAACCUCUGUGAAGGGUCAUGACCCCCAGGUUGAGAACUGCUGGUUUAGUUGCAGAGCUUAUUAAUUUUUGGAAACUCUGAGACAGUUAAAUUGUAGUUUAAAAUUUUAUUCAAAACCUAAAAGGUUUAAUUGGGCUUUUACCGAACAGCCAGGCUAUACAGAGAAACCUUGUCUCAAAAAGCCAAAACAAAAACAAAAACUCAAGAACCUGUAAGAACCAAUAGAGAGACCCACAUAGAUGAACACCUUCUCUGGUGCAGAAGUACACUGUCUCAGGCCACUCUUGGUGGUGCACAACUAUAAGAAGCAGAGGCAGGAGGAUGUCUGUGAGUUGAACCUAAUCUGGUCUACAUAAAAAGUUCCAGGAAAGCCAGGGCUACAUGGUUGAGACCAUUAGGUGAUAUCCCAAAAUGCACAAAGACAGCAACUCUUUGAUGCCAUGGUCUUUAUGGUUAUUUAAUAGUUCUUUGACCUUGUGUUCACAACUCUCACCUAAUGGUUUUUCAUUUUGUAUUGUUGUUUAAGAUUUAUUGGGGAUCCCCAUCCCAAGCCUCUUAUGAGAAAGUGUCUCUCAGUGCCCUGGAAUCCAUGAAGCUAGAGUUAAAGGCAGUUGGGAGCCACUCAGUGUUCCUCUGGAACAGUGGGAAGCACACUCCUGAGCACUCAGCCAACUAUCCAACUCCCUAAUAGCUUUUAUGUGGUAUUUCUGCUCGAUGCCCCACCCAGGCUACAUUUCACCCUUCAUCCUGUAGCUACCUGGCCUCCCUUCAUCACAGGCUGACACCCUUAGUACCUCCACCGUACUAAGUUUCUAUUACUGUUUUCCUGUUGCUGUACUGUUACUUGGCUCCAAUCAACUGCAGAUAGACUCUUGAAUUUUUGUUUUGCUGUAGUAGCCUCCCAUAAAAUAAACUCUGAAAAGUCAGAAAGGGACUAAUGAAUUUCAUGUCCAUUAGUUUUUUUCUUUGGUGGUGUCUUAAAUACCUCUAACUUCAAAUAUAUUAACCAGGAGCUAGAGAGAGUGCUCUGUGGUUGAUUAAGAGCACAUACUGCACCUCCAGGUGGGAGGAGUCAGCUACCAGCACCUAUAAUGGUGACUGUGAUUCCAGCUCAGGGGGAUCCAACACCUGGCCUCAGUAUGUGCAUAUGCCCACACACACAACACACAAUUAAAAAUAAUUUUAAAGGGUCAGAGUUUAAUGUUUUAGUGCCUUUAGUAGUCUUGGCAGAGCAGAUAGGUUUGGCAGUGGUCAUUCUUUAGUUCUUUCUUAUCUUCAGGAGUUGUACUUCAUAAGAAUAUUCAUUACAUAUACUUAUCUGGCAGAGAGUUUUUACCAUGAUCAUGAAGAUGGUUUUCCCAAGGUGAGGCUUAUCCAUUGCCAUCUGUAUGUGCUGACCCCUGCAGUUUCCUCAAAUGUGUGAAACUCGGAUUUGAAAUUUGUGGUAAUGCAUUGUCUCCCCUAAAAGGAAAAAAGAAACCUCUACAGUACUGUUAGAAGCCACAAAAGACUGAAGUGCUGUGUGUCUGACUCCACUACUGUUUGUGUGAUGUGUCUAAAACAUGCUUGACCAACCCCUAAGAGAGCUUCGAGUUGAGAGCUGCCACUUCUUUUUAUACUCUUCUACCAGGUGCCUAUGUUGGUUUAAAAAAAAAAAUUGGUCUUGGUCUGUAUCAAUGGUGACAAGAUGCUAGACCAUUGAGCGACCUGUGAGGAGACACUGCCUUUUUCACAUAGCCCAUACAUUCUACAGGGCUUUCGGUUAUUUUAAAACGUCUAGGCCAGCAAGAUAGCUCUGAAGUAAAGGCAGUUGCCUCCAAGCUGAAAUCCUGGGUUUGGUUUCAGGAAGCCAAAUGUGCACAGUAGCUUGUGCAUGUGUAAACACACAAAUGUAAUAAAUAGUCCAAAAAUUAGCUAAAUUGUUAUGGUAGUAAUCAAAGGAAAACAUUUUGAGUAUAUGAAGACUUAAGCAUUGAUAGCCGGGUGUGGUGGCGCACACCUUUAAUCCCAGCACUCGGGAGGCAGAGGCAGGUGGAUUUCUGAGUUCGAGGCCAGCCUGGUCUACAAAGUGAGUUCCAGGACAGCUAGGGCUAUGCAGAGAAACCCUGUCUCAAAAAACCAAAACAACAAAAAACAAACAAACAAAAAAACAAGCAUUGAUGAAAUGCAGCCCUGAGAUGCAACCUCUGAAUUAUCAAUACCUGAAGGAAUUUAUACAGGAAUGAUAGAGAAAGCUAGUUGUUUGGAGAGCUUUUUACAAAGCAGUAAAUGAGGAAGACCUAUGUCUGUUACACUCGAGACACCAAGAAGCCAUUAAAAGAUUUUGUAGAGUCGAAAUUGGAGCACUCCCCAGGUGUGGUGGACAGGCCUUUAAUCCCAGCACUUGGGAGGUAAAUACCUGGACUUUUAUGAGUUCAAGGCCAGCCUGGCCUACAUAGUAAGUUCCAGCCAGGACUACAU
rnacentral:lncRNA from 1 species